AACUUUCAGCAACGGAUCACUUGGCUCUCGCAUCGAUGAAGAGCGCAGCGAAAUGCGAAAAGUAAUGUGAAUUGCAGAAUUCAGUGAAUCAUCGAAUCGUUGAACGCACCUUGCGCUCCUUGGUAUUCCGAGCAGCAUGCCUGUUUGAGUGUCAGUUAAUUCUCAACCCCCUCCAGCUUUUGUAGCUGGUCUUGUGGGGCUUGGAUGUGGAGGCUUUGCGGGCCCUUUUGAAGGGUUGGCUCCUCUGAAAUGCAUUAGCGGAACUGUUUGCAAUCCGUCACAGGUGUGAUAAAUAUCUACACCAAUGGGGGUUGCUCUCUGAUUGUUCGGCUUCUAACAGUCCCUUUAGUAGGACAGUUGUUUGAACUUUUGACCUCAAAUCAGGUAGGACUACCCGCUGAACUUAAGCAUAUCAAUAAGCGGAGGCU
rnacentral:misc_RNA from 1 species